rnacentral:rRNA from 1 species
GACGAACGCUGGCGGCGUGCUUAACACAUGCAAGUCGAACGAAGAGGCUUGGAAGCUUGCUUCUAAGAAUCUUAGUGGCGAACGGGUGAGUAACGCGUAAUCAACCUGCCCUUCAGAGGGGGACAACAGUUGGAAACGACUGCUAAUACCGCAUACGAUCCAAUCUCGGCAUCGAGGAUGGAUGAAAGGUGGCCUCUAUUUAUAAGCUAUCACUGAAGGAGGGGAUUGCGUCUGAUUAGCUAGUUGGAGGGGUAACGGCCACCAAGGCGAUGAUCAGUAGCCGGUCUGAGAGGAUGAACGGCCACAUUGGGACUGAGACACGGCCCAGACUCCUACGGGAGGCAGCAGUGGGGAAUCUUCCGCAAUGGACGAAAGUCUGACGGAGCAACGCCGCGUGAGUGAUGACGGCCUUCGGGUUGUAAAGCUCUGUUAAUCGGGACGAAAGGUCCUCUUGCGAAUAGUUAGAGGAAUUGACGGUACCGGAAUAGAAAG